UACGAAGGGGGCUAGCGUUGCUCGGAAUCACUGGGCGUAAAGCGCACGUAGGCGGAUCGUUAAGUCGGGGGUGAAAUCCUGGAGCUCAACUCCAGAACUGCCUUCGAUACUGGCGAUCUUGGAGUCCGGGAGAGGUGAGUGGAACUCCGAGUGUAGAGGUGAAAUUCGUAGAUAUUCGGAAGAACACCAGUGGCGAAGGGCGGCUCACUGGCCCGGUACUGACGCUGAGGUGCGAAAGCGUGGGGAGCAAACAGGG
rnacentral:rRNA from 1 species